rnacentral:rRNA from 1 species
AUUGAACGCUGGCGGCAGGCCUAACACAUGCAAGUCGAGCGGAUGAAGGGAGCUUGCUCCUGGAUUCAGCGGCGGACGGGUGUGUAAUGCCUAGGAAUCUGCCUGGUAGUGGGGGAUAACGUCCGGAAACGGGCGCUAAUACCGCCUACGUCCUGCGGGAGCAAGUGGGGGAUCUUCGGACCUCUCGCUCUCAGAUGAGCCUAGGUCGGAUUAGCUAGUUGGUGGGGUAAGGGCCUACCAAGGCGACGAUCCGUAACUGGUCUGAGAGGAUGAUCAGUCACACUGGAAGUGAGACACGGUCCAGGCUCCUGCGGGAGGCAGCAGUGGGGAAUAUUAGACAAUGGGGGAAAGCCUGAUCCAGCCAUGCCGCGUGUGUGAAGAAGGUCUUCGGAUUGGAAAGCACUUUAAGUUGGGAGGAAGGGCAGUAAGUUAAUACCUUGCUGUUUUGACGUUACCAACAGAAUAAGCACCGGCUAACUUCGUG